CCCACGACCCUGAGAUUAAGAGUCUCAUGCUCUACCGACUGAGCUAGCCGGGCACCUGUGCAAGCUGUGUCUACACUUUAAUAGGAGAAAAUGUAUUGUUCCCCCUUUCUUAAAGUAGUCAUAAAUUCCGAUUUUAGAUUUUAUUCCGUCAUUUACAUUAGUUUUUUAGGUAAGGUGAAACUCUAACAACAAAAUUUUGCAGCAAAUUAUUACUCUGUAUUCCACUUGACGUUUUCCUUCUUUUCCCAUUCUCGUUCACUGGUGUCCAUCUUUUCUUUCCUAUUUUUCCUCCCUUUCUUUCUAUUUCUCGAUCUUUCUUUCUUGAUCUCUCUUCUUUUUCUCCCUCUCUCCCUCCCCUCCCCUUCUCUCUUCUUUUCCUUUCCAUCUCUCUCUCUCCUUGAUAAAUCACAAAAUGUUUCCUGGAUCACUAAUGCUUUUCCAGAGCUCCAGACCUUGUGGCUAACUUGGUUCUGAGAACCGUCCUCCCACAGGAGCUCAGUUCCAAAGCCCCAGGCAUCAACCCUCUCCGAUCCCCUGGUGCUUUCUGCUGGUGUUCCCACCACCUGCCAAGUCUCCCGGCUUCCUUGCUCUUUGUGUGAAGAACAGACCUGAAGGGGACACAGUGAUACAGACACGCUCUGCGAGGAGGCUGAUAUUGACAGGUGUUGAAUCACAGCGGACCGCAGCAAAGUAGAGAUCGUCUGCAGGCAGUUUACAUGCUCUUUGGGAGAGAGCGGCAGGACAAGAAACAAAACCCAGAAGGCAGUCGUCUGCCGGACCAUCUGCGGGACCACAACGGCGGCGUAGGAAUACUUCUGAGCUUAGCAAGGCUCUGGGUGAAGGGCACAGGCUGAGACACUCACUCUGAGCAACUGAGCCUACUCAGGGACAGUGUUUGAUCUCUUCAUGCAGGCAAGUGUGUGUACUUUAGAGAGACAAAAAGGAUACAGAGGUUCAGGGACUCUGCAGUUUGCAGGGCAGACUGGGCCUUAGGUGAAGGGAACAGGAAACCCUUCCUUUUGUCUUAUCCUACGGUAUCUUCGUUUACUUGUUUACACUGGCUCUCACUGCACUCAUUUCGUGGACCAGGUUGGGCCUGGACUUCACUGAGAUCUCCCUGCCCCUGACUUCCUGGUGCUGGGAUUGUAGGCGUACACAAUUGUACCCGGACCAGUCAGAGACUUUUGCUGCAGCUGGAAGUUAAUCGUUUCAAAUCUUGCUGGCAAAAUGGGUUAAAAACUGGCUGUUUAAAUUCACCACAAUAAAGGUUUGUCCUCUCAAAGUCCUUAUAA